rnacentral:rRNA from 1 species
AUUUUUAUGGAGAGUUUGAUCCUGGCUCAGAGUGAACGCUGGCGGCGUGCCUAAUACAUGCAAGUCG